GGAAGCUUCCCACAGAAGAUUGCAUUUGAUGGAUUUACUCCAGAAAUUUGGCCAAGAUAAAUUUUGAAAGUGAAGUCAUAAUUUACACAUGAAAUUUCAGGUUUGCACUCUGUUUUUAGAGGAGUUGUGCUUGGAGAAUGUGAUGGCAGGAGAAAACAGCUGCUUUGAUCCCAGCAACUGAAGAGUUUCCCUGGAGUGUGCAAGCCUGUGGUGGUACAGCAUGGAAUGCCCUUCUGUCAGAUUCCUGUGUAGAAGGGUGUAGAAGAUGGGCAUACAGCAUCCAUCAUGCAUACUCAUCUCUUUGAAGGAGCUGCUGAAGCCUGGAGAUGACAUAGAAUCUGGCUCUGCGAGGUCCUAUCUUCUCAAUUUUUUGAACUGAAGAUCUGAAAGGAAAUCAUUGCAGAAAAGGUUUGCAACCAAUGUGGAGACUGGGGAGGGAUAUUAUCAGUGGAUCCUAUUCCCAGUAAGGAUAUGACAGUGGAUCCUAGGAGUCUUUCUGGAACCCCAGGAGAUGAGAUGUUACCAAGAAAUGCAGCCACAGAUUAAAGUGGAUACAGGAAAUUAUUUGCUCACAGCUCCCAUGAGAAUCAACAGCUCAAAGUGUUUUUUUUUUUAAUACAUAUUUUUUAUUUUAUAUGCUUAUUUUUUUGUUUGUUUUGAUGGAGUGUCCACUUGCCCAACCUCUUUUUCUAAUGCUUUCUUUUAUGAUUAAAGUGCCCCUUUUCUGCAAUGGUUGAUUUAGUCACAACUCCUGGACUUUCCAUUGAAAUUAUUUUCCUACUGGCAAAAGGAAAGGUAACACUGAAAACACUUCUCUGCAAAACAAGCUCUGUGUUACAAAGCUACAAGCCCAAUAUAUUAACUUCAAAAUGUUUUCCCUGGAAUUUUCAGGCAAACCAACACUUCUUAGGAGCAGGGAAACGCUCCCAAAGUGCCACAGGACCAAGGUGCUGAAGUCUGAUGCCGGGGAUAAAGAGGUGCUGGGACAAUACAGCAGGAGGUUCCAUAUACAUGCACCUAUAUCAACAUCAAUCAGCAAAGUGAAGGUGCCUUUGUAUUUAGACAGGUCUGUGCUGUGCCUUACAAUGCUGAGUUUAUAGAAAGGCCCAGCCAGAAAAGCACUCUACACCCAGAUAUCAUAACAAAAGUGACAUUCAGGAUAGUAAAAUAAAUAUUAAUUUCUUCAUCUUCCCAUAUUCAUCUCAGACAUCCAGCUAACUCUAAUAAUACUUUACACUAUAAUGCUUUACAAAUACAACUAUUCCAAAUUA